rnacentral:rRNA from 1 species
CGUCAUUUUAGGUAGAAUAAUGCGCAACUCCAUUUGUUUUUCUGUUAGAGAACGUCGGUCUUUAUUGAUCAAGCAACAAAUUUACAAAGAGUCUCCUGGAUGCAAUCCGGAGCAGAAAGAAAAGUACAUGGACUAGUAGAGCUCAAACUAGAUCUAGCUAAGACAUGAGCUAAAACAUUGUACUGCCGACGAACAUGCUGGAAAGUUGCAGAAGAAAGACCAUUUGCCAUCACUUUGACGUCCAUGAGAAUAGAACCCACCACCGAGCGGUCACUAGAAGAAGAUUUCAAGCGCUGCACCAUCGAGAGGCAAUCUGUGUUGAAGAUAACAUCAUCAAAUCCCUCAUCACAUGCAAAACGAACCGCUCGACGGAGUGCUAAGGCCUCAGCUACCUCUGGAGACAGUGCACCCCUCAACGGAUCAGAACAGGCACCUACACACAAGCCCUCAUGGUUGAGCACCACCACCCCUAUUCCGGAUUUAUGUUGCUCCACCGACACAGCCGCAUCGGAGAAAGCCACCACUAUACCUUGCGACGGCGGAGACCAUUGACGAUCAGUAUACGAGGUCUCACGCCUGGAAGCAAGUACAGGCUUGUAGAGGUGUUGGAGGAUCAGGUCAAUGUAAGCCUUGGCCCUGGUAGCAGUGCGCACCGGCGGAGGCGGCAUCGGCUCAUUCCUCGCCGCGUUCCGCGCCUCCCAGAUACGCCAUAUGGAGACAGUGAUGAUCGUCGCUUCCUGAUCCGAGCAGCUAGAAAGGAAGUCGAAGAGCUACUACUUGGGAGAUGUGAAGGAGGACCGCCGUAGCCUGAUG